AUGCCAACGACAAUUUCAGAGACCAUAAGAAGUUCAAAGGAGCCAACAGAAGAAACAGCAAGCGCAGCGGCAACGCCUCCUGCAAUGUUUGAUGACCGACGUGUUUCAGUAGCAGUGGAGAACUGGUCUGAAAGGUCUCAGAGCAGGAUCAGAAGCGGAAGGGAAGGGAUGCAAAGGAAUAGAAGUAUCGAGGUAAGUGAGUUCACUCAACACUCUUCAAAAUUCAGUAGAGCAGGUCGGGUGUUGGCAUUGUCAUAUCGGGACAGUGCAUAUAAAUCUGCUGCAAAAGCCUCCAAGCUAGAUUCAAGUAAUGGCGAUUACUUACUUCAAUUUGAUUUUAAAUAUUUAUAA